rnacentral:rRNA from 1 species
UAACACGUAGGUAACCGGCCCAUGUGUCCGGGAUAACUGCUGGAAACGGUAGCUAAAACCGGAAUAGGUAUACAGAGCGCAUGCUCAGUAUAUUAAAGACGCCCAUCAAGGCGUGAACAUGGAUGGACCUGCGGCGCAUUAGCUAGUUGGUGGGGUAACGGCCCACCAAGGCGAUGAUGCGUAGCCGGCCUGAGAGGGUAAACGGCCACAUUGGGACUGAGACACGGCCCAA